rnacentral:lncRNA from 1 species
UUUGGGAUGGUCCAAAGGGAUUUAGGAACACCCAGGAUGGUCCAAGAUGGAUUUGGGAUGGUCCAAAGGGAUUUAGGAACAUCCAAAAUUGGGACCAUCUGGACCUGGGACCAUCU